GAUGAAGAACGUAGCGAAAUGCGAUACGUAAUGUGAAUUGCAGAAUUCAGUGAAUCAUCGAGUCUUUGAACGCACAUUGCGCCCCCUGGUAUUCCGGGGGGCAUGCCUGUCCGAGCGUCAUUGCUGCCCUCAAGCACGGCUUGUGUGUUGGGCCUCCGUCCUCCUCCCGGGGGACGGGCCCGAAAGGCAGCGGCGGCACCGCGUCCGGUCUCGAGCGUAUGGGGCUUCGUCACCCGCUCUUGUAGGCCCGGCCGGCGCUUGCCGACACAUCAAUCUUUUUUCCAGGUUGACCUCGGAUCAGGUAGGGAUACCCGCUGAACUUAAGCAUAUCAAUAAGCGGAGGA
rnacentral:misc_RNA from 1 species